GAUGAAGAACGUAGCGAAAUGCGAUAAGUAAUGUGAAUUGCAGAAUUCAGUGAAUCAUCCAAUCUUUGAACGCACAUUGCGCCCCUUGGUAUUCCGAGGGGCAUGCCUGUUCGAGCGUCAUUAUAACCCUCAAGCUCAGCUUGGUGUUGGGGCCUGCUGCACUGGCAGCCCUUAAAAUCAGUGGCGGCGCCAUCUGGCUCUAAGCGUAGUAAUUCUUCUCGCUAUGGAGUCCUGGUGGAUGCUUGCCAUCAACCCCCAAUUUUUCUAUGGUUGACCUCGGAUCAGGUAGGGAUACCCGCUGAACUUAAGCAUAUCAAUAAGCGGAGGA
rnacentral:misc_RNA from 1 species